UACGAAGGGGGCUAGCGUUGUUCGGAAUUACUGGGCGUAAAGGGCGCGUAGGCGGCCGAUUAAGUUAGGUGUGAAAGUCCUGGGCUCAACCUGGGGACUGCACUUAAUACUGGUUGGCUUGAAUUCGGGAGAGGAUAGCGGAAUUCCCAGUGUAGAGGUGAAAUUCGUAGAUAUUGGGAAGAACACCGGUGGCGAAGGCGGCUAUCUGGACCGACAUUGACGCUGAGGCGCGAAAGCGUGGGGAGCAAACAGG
rnacentral:rRNA from 1 species